CACACGGUAAACGAUGGAUACUCGCUGUUGGCGAUACACAGUCAGCGGCCAAGCGAAAGCAUUAAGUAUCCCACCUGGGGAGUACGCCGGCAACGGUGAAACUCAAAGGAAUUGACGGGGGCCCGCACAAGCGGAGGAACAUGUGGUUUAAUUCGAUGAUACGCGAGGAACCUUACCCGGGCUUAAAUUGCAGACGAAUUAUCUGGAAACAGGUAAGCCGCAAGGCGUCUGUGAAGGUGC
rnacentral:rRNA from 2 species